GAUGAACGCUGGCGGCGUGCCUAAUACAUGCAAGUCGAGAGAACAGAUGAGGAGCUUGCUCCUCUGACGUUAGCGGCGGACGGGUGAGUAACACGUGGAUAACCUACCUAUAAGACUGGGAUAACUUCGGGAAACCGGAGCUAAUACCGGAUAAUAUAUUGAACCGCAUGGUUCAAUAGUGAAAGACGGUUUUGCUGUCACUUAUAGAUGGAUCCGCGCCGCAUUAGCUAGUUGGUAAGGUAACGGCUUACCAAGGCAACGAUGCGUAGCCGACCUGAGAGGGUGAUCGGCCACACUGGAACUGAGACACGGUCCAGACUCCUACGGGAGGCAGCAGUAGGGAAUCUUCCGCAAUGGGCGAAAGCCUGACGGAGCAACGCCGCGUGAGUGAUGAAGGUCUUCGGAUCGUAAAACUCUGUUAUUAGGGAAGAACAAAUGUGUAAGUAACUAUGCACGUCUUGACGGUACCUAAUCAGAAAGCCACGGCUAACUACGUG
rnacentral:rRNA from 1 species